GACGUAGGGGGCCAGCGUUGUUCGGAAUUACUGGGUGUAAAGGGUUCGUAGGCGGUGCGGCAAGUUUGGGAGUGAAAUCUCUGGGCUUAACCCAGAGGCUGCUUCCAAAACUGCUGUGCUUGAGUGUGGAAGAGGCGAGUGGAAUUCCUGGUGUAGCGGUGAAAUGCGCAGAUAUCAGGAGGAACACCAAUGGCGAAGGCAGCUCGCUGGGACGGUACUGACGCUGAGACGCGAAAGCGUGGGGGAGCAAACAGG
rnacentral:rRNA from 1 species